AUUUUUCGCCUCCACCAGAUGACGACCGUGGACAGAUAACAGAUAGGUCGCCAGUUCGUCGCUUGUUGUCAGAAAUACCCCAUGCAUACACAUUUGUUUUGUGUGUUAAAAGUGUUUGGUUUAAAAAACGUGUUAAACCAGUAAGGAAGGUUACGUAACUAAGAUGAAUGAAGAAAGUUGCAUACACAACAUAGAAUGUGUGCACACAUGUCAUAGAACCACAUGAAAAAGAAAGUGACAGACUAAUAAUGCAUUGUUGGUAAAUGGUGACAGACUGACUGAUCUGCAAGUAAUAAUAAAUAUGUAUUUGUUAUGCAAAGGGAUUGUAGAUCAGUCAGUCUGCGUGUGGAGGAGGAUGAAGACUAGUUACGUGCAGGACAUAGUAAAACACACGCUAUCAUUGACAUGCAGCUUUUCUCAUAGACGGGAGGUUACUAUGUGAAGGAAUGUGUUUAGAUUGGUAGUUGUCUCUUUAUGUUUCUUUUGAGAUGGUAUGGCCUCCGAGGACACCCAAGACCAACUGGAUGAGGCUAUUAAAAAGGCAGACCGGCUUUCUGAGGAGCUCAACCAAGAGAAGGACCCACAAACCCAACUGGACGAGGCCAUUAACGAGGCAAAAAGGCUGACUGAGGAGCUCAACCCAGAACGGGCAAUGUAACAAGUCGUACAUUACCGCUCCAAGAGCCAGUACAUCAAGAGCCAGACUAGUGCAAAAAAUGUUGGGCCGGUCACUGAGGAGGAAGAAUCAGGACCUGAGCCCUAGGACCAUGCCUCAGGACUACCUGACAUGAUGACUCCUUGCUGUUCCCAGUCCACCUGGCCGUGCUGCUGCUCCAGUUUCAACUGUUCUGCCUGUGAUUAUUAUUAUUUGACCAUGCUGGUCAUUUAUGAACAUUUGAACAUCUUGGCCAUGUUUUGUUAUAAUCGUGCCAGAAGAGGACUGGCCACCCCACAUAGCCUGGUUCCUCUCUAGGUUUCUUCCUAGGUUUUGGCCUUUCUAGGGAGUUUUUCCUAGCCACCGUGCUUCUACACCUGCAUUGCUGUUUGGGGUUUUAGGCUGGGUUUCUGUACAGCACUUUGAGAUAUCAGCUGAUGUACGAAGGGCUAUAUAAAUACAUUUGAUUUGAUUUGAAUGAAUGUCACUCUGAACUAUCCACUCUAACCACGACAGAGAAGGCGGACAAACUCUCCAACUUUUCAACAGAGACCCUGACGACACUGAGUGUAAAUAUAUAUAUAUAUAUUGAUUGCAAUUGUUCCCGAAUGAGUGAGCAUUCAUGUGCAAAGGAUUAGCAUUUCAAUUGUUAUAAUUAUCAACUGUGUGUUGUCUUAUCUCAGUCGACCCCCACUUCCCACUAGGGCACAUUCCCCUAUCAUUUCUUGUAACCAUAUCUACUGUUUGUUUAUGCAUUUCUGUGAAUUACUUAGUUAGUAAAUAAAUAAUUUAAGACAAUUGAUGUAUGGAUGACUCAUAGUGAAGACUGGGUUCGUGCAGAUAACCAAC
ensembl:lncRNA